UACGUAGGGAGCAAGCGUUGUUCGGAUUUACUGGGCGUAAAGGGCGCGUAGGCGGCCGGGUUGGUCGUGGGUGAAAUCCCCCAGCUUAACUGGGGAACUGCCUACGAUACUGCCUGGCUCGAGGGAGGAAGGGGCGGUCGGAACUGUCGGUGGAGCGGUGAAAUGCGUAGAGAUCGGCAGGAACACCAGUGGGGGAGCCGGCCACCUAGCCCGCACCUGACGCUGAGGCGCGACAGCGUGGGGAGCGAACUGG
rnacentral:rRNA from 1 species